rnacentral:lncRNA from 1 species
CCGUCUCGAUUAAUCUUUAUCAUUUGAUGCUUUAUAUGUUGAAUUAGUGAUGUGAGCGAUCUUUGUUUGGCUUGAUUUUGAUUGGUUUGAAUCAUCGUAAGUGUUGGUCGAUUUGGUUGGAUUCUUUGAGUUGAAUAUUUGUUUGAUGGCGAGUUGAGUGAUUGCAUGAUCGAUGAUAAAUCGGGGAGGGAUUGAUCUUGAUAAAGGAAAAUCGGAUUAAUUUUGGUUGGUUGAUUGAAUUGAUGUGAAAUAUUUAUUAAUUUUCUCGAAUAUGAUAGUAUCAUAUUUUAGGCUGAUAUCGAUAGGUGAAUAUAGAUUUGGGUAGGCAAAGAAUUUAGGAAUAAAUGUUUUUCGUGGAAUGUGUG